UCUCAAACCGCAAACUCUUCCGUUCCUCCUCUGAAAAUAAUCUCCUCUUUCUCUCUCCGUUUACUUCAAUUGAGUUUCCAGAUCUUUUGUUCGCUCUUCUUAUCACUUGGAAAAAGGUGAACCCUCGUGUUAUUUUUAUUUUAAUCUUUGCUUUAAUUGUAGUUUUUACCCUUGUGGUCCCUGAUGGCUUCGCACAGUGAUACUCUGGUGGUGUUCUUUGGGGCAACAGCUGGUGCAAAUGGGGGUAAACUGGGUUCGGAUGAGAGGGAAAUAAUUCUCUUGGUGUGGCAAAUUGUGGACCUACAUGAGAAAAAGGUGGGGAAGCUUCAUAGAUGUCUUGUCAAGCCGGACACUUUGGAGCUGACAGACCAGAGUAAAGAGGAAACAGGCCUGAGUCUGGAUGAAAUCAUCAAAGCUGAGCCUCUGGAUAAAGUUCUGCAACAGUUUCAGCAGUCUGUGUCGUCAGAAGUGAAGUGUCUUGGCAGAAGCUCUUAUACACUAUGCGUCAACAGUCCACUUAUCAUCAGACAGGCUGUCCAUCCUGAAGCGUCCAAAAAGAAUCUUGUGCUUCCUGAAAGUUUCUUUUCAUUUGUGGACUUGAGGAAGGAGUUUCACAAAUGCUGCCCCAAUGCUGGUCCUGUGCAAAGGCUCACACUUGCCUCCAUGCUGGAAUAUGUUGGUCUACCUGCUGUGUCAGAUGGGACGGGGGUGAGGGAGGUGAGGAGCAUGGUUCAGCUGAUUCUUCGCAUCCUGGCUGAGCCCUACAAUCACAAAUUCUCCUGCGUUGAAACUAUAAAGUACAAGUUCGACUCUGGCACAUGUAGUAAAACAGAGCCAGUGGACAGCGAGACUGUGAUCAGAGCCCGAGGACUUCCAUGGCAGUCUUCAGACCAAGACAUUGCUCGCUUCUUUAAAGGCCUCAAUAUCGCCAAGGGUGGUGUUGCCCUGUGUCUGAAUGCUCAGGGCAGGAGAAACGGAGAGGCCUUAGUUCGCUUCAUCAACUCUGAGCACAGGGAUCUGGCUCUGGAGCGUCAUAAGCACCACAUGGGCAGCCGCUACAUAGAGGUCUACAAGGCUACUGGAGAGGAAUUCCUCAAGAUUGCUGGAGGUACAUCUAAUGAGGUGGCCCAGUUCCUGUCCAAAGAGAACCAAGUGAUUAUCCGCAUGCGGGGGCUACCGUUCACGGCCACACCCCAGGAAGUACUGGCCUUCCUCGGCCCAGAGAGCCCAGUUACAGACGGAGCCGAGGGCCUGCUCUUUGUCAAGUACCCGGACGGACGGCCCACAGGCGAUGCUUUCGUUCUUUUUUCUUGUGAAGAGUACGCCCAAAACGCCCUGAAGAAACACAAGCAGAUUCUUGGAAAGCGGUACAUCGAACUGUUCCGGAGUACAGCAGCUGAGGUGCAACAGGUCUUGAACCGGUACAUGUCCACCCCUCUGAUCUCCACACUGCCACCCUCACCCAUCAUGCCUGUCCCCGUCCUCGCCACGCCCCCCUUUCUACCAGCAUCCAGCAGCACUCGUGACUGCGUCCGCCUGCGUGGGCUACCCUACACAGCUGGGAUCGAAGAUAUUCUGGAGUUCAUGGGAGAACACACAGUGGACAUCAAACCCCACGGAGUCCACAUGGUCCUCAAUCAGCAGGGGCGGCCCUCUGGCGACGCCUUCAUCCAAAUGAAAUCACCAGACAAGGCAUUCAUGGUGGCCCAGAAGUGUCAUAAAAAGACAAUGAAGGACAGAUACGUGGAGGUGUUCCAGUGUUCCACAGAGGAAAUGAGCAUCGUCCUGAUGGGAGGAACCCUGAACCGGAGUGGACUCUCCCCCCCGCCGUGCAAACUACCCUGUUUGUCUCCCCCCACGGCCUACGCCCCCUUCCCCACCCCACCCGCCAUCCUGUCUGAGGCAGCCCUCUACCAGCCCCCCCUGCUGGCUGCGCCCAGACCACCUCAGACCACUGCACACAGCCCCGCUCACACCCUGGCCUACUACCCCCCCCAGCCUCAUCUCUACAUGAACAUGAACAUGAACUACACUGCUUACUACCCCAGCCCCCCAGUUUCUCCCUCCACUGUCGGCUACUUUGCUCCACCAGGAGCAGUAGCUGCAGCGGUCGCCGCCCAGCCCCACCACCCUGCCGGCGCCUCCUCGGUGCUCCCCCAGCCCGGGGCCUUGGUCCGGAUGCAGGGUCUGCCCUUCAACACUGGGGUCAAGGACAUCCUCAGCUUCUUCCAGGGAUACCAGUCCAAAUUAGGUGGAGUCCUCUGAAGCAGGUGCGAACCCUGACAGUACGCCCCUGAUGAGUACAGCGGCGUGGUUCAGAUGAGCGAACAGGCCAGGAGUCUGAUUCAGCCCAAAGAAUGGCUCUGUCUUUAGGGACUCGGCAAAGCUCCAGCCAGACGCCGUUCUCAUCUUGUACAAUUUCAGCGGCCAGUGCAGUGGCGAGGCCUUGAUCACCUUCCCGAGCGAGGAGAUGGCGAGGCAGGCUGUGGGCGAGCACUCUAACCACCUCUUCUACGGCCAGCAGGUCCACUUGGCCUUCUGUAACUGACCUCCCUCCUCCGUCACCUCCACAGAAGAGCACUCGCCCCACUCGCGUCUCUCUAGCUGCUGCCCCCUUCCACCCCCCCCCCCCGUAAAACCUGAUCCCGACGCUACGUGAGCGCUUUCUCUUCCAUGAUCCCCCUUCUUUCUGUACUGUACUGACACUCCUGAGGCCACCGCCAGAGUUCAGACAUCACCGUUGCCAUGUGGACGUCAUGCAGGCAAAUUUAAUGCCACCUACUGUACCCGCUGAUGGUGGAGCAGGGGUUGUAACGUGGACCCUGGACAAACCCACCUCGGCGGCUCAGCGCAGUUCACGUAUAUUCCCAUUCUGUCAAACUGUGUACAGACGUUCAUCCUGAAAUGCUUGAGGCUGCUUCUACCUUGCAAAGGCAUACGAACCCAGCGCUCUUUAGCUCUGAGCUUUCAGUCUUAACCACUACAAGAUUUAUUUAGUUGAUAUUCUUUUGCGGAUUUCGUUCCGUGCGUAUGUGAAUGCGCAAUGUUUAUUGGUUCAAUGGCCUCCGGCAGUGAUUACGGGGCCACUAAAGAAGAAAAAAAAAAAAACAAAGCCAUAAAGACUGACAGACUACUGAAACAACAGGGUAACUCUCAAACUGUACGUAACAGGAUUUAGUGUCAAGCUGCAGGGACUGUUGGCUAAAACCAAAACAUUACAGAGGUGUCAGAGUACCAACUGAUGUGUAUAUUUACUUUGUUUUUCUGUAAAAAGCGUGCACGUACGAUACGUCACAUAUGGCAUUUAAACUCCAGCACUAAAGAGUUUUUUUUUCUUUCCUCUUUCUAAUCAGAGGUUAGGAACAACAUGAACAUGAUGAAUUUAUAUUUGUAUUAAUCCCAUUUCCUUAAGUGGAGAUUUUGUUAUUAGAUGUGAACGACCCGGGGCCUGUCAUAAACCCCGUCUGAUCGACCUUAGCUACUGUAUCUAUUUAUUAGGAUCAGUCUGUAGCAUGCUUUAUUUCCUGCUUCGGUCCAGAUCACUGUGUAAAAGUGCACGACUUUAUGUUUGGUCUGACAGACCCGCCGACAGCUCCCUUAGUUUUUCAUCUCUUUACUUUGCCUACAUUACCCAGAGUGCAAUGCAAGCCCUCAAAACAGGCUGGGCCAAGCUCUGGUGGCAGAGAUCAUUCUUUUGUUGCAAGUUUGAGACUUGUGUGAACUUAAGCAUAUUAAAAUGUAUACACCUGUAAACAAUAAA